GUGGGGAAUAUUGGACAAUGGGCGAAAGCCUGAUCCAGCCAUGCCGCGUGUGUGAAGAAGGUCUUCGGAUUGUAAAGCACUUUAAGUUGGGAGGAAGGGCAGUAAGUUAAUACCUUGCUGUUUUGACGUUACCGACAGAAUAAGCACCGGCUAACUUCGUGCCAGCAGCCGCGGUAAUACGAAGGGUGCAAGCGUUAAUCUGAAUUACUGGGCGUAAAGCGCGCGUAGGUGGUUUUGUAAGUUGGAGGUGAAAUCCCCGGGCUCAACCUGGGAACUGCCUCCAAAACUGCAUGACUAGAGUACGGUAGAGGGUAGUGGAAUUUCCUGUGUAGCGGUGAAAUGCGUAGAUAUAGGAAGGAACACCAGUGGCGAAGGCGACUACCUGGACUGAUACUGACACUGAGGUGCGAAAGCGUGGGGAGCAAACAGGAUUAGAUACCCCAGUAGUCC
rnacentral:rRNA from 1 species